UACGGAGGGUGCGAGCGUUGUUCGGAAUUACUGGGCGUAAAGCGUGUGUAGGCGGCCGCGCAAGUCGGAUGUGAAGCCCCGGCUCAACCCGGGAAGUGACACCCGAUACUGCAUGGCUCGAGUACUGGAGAGGUUGGUGGAAUUCUCGGUGUAGAGGUGAAAUUCGUAGAUAUCGAGAAGGAACACCGGUGGCGAAGGCGGGCGAUCUGGGUCGAAUGACUGACGCUGAGGUGCGAAAGGCGUGGGGAGCAAACAGG
rnacentral:rRNA from 1 species